GAUUAGUAGUGCGGAACAGGGUGAGUAACACGUGGGCAAUCUGCCCUGCGCUCUGGGACAAGCCCUGGAAACGGGGUCUAAUACCGGAUAUGACCCUCGCACGCAUCUGUGAGGGUGUAGAGCUCCUGCGGUGCAGGAUGAGCCCGCGGCCUAUCAUCUUGUUGGUGAGGUAACGGCUCACCAAGGCGACGACGGGUAGCCGGCCUGAGAGGGCGACCGGCCACACUGGGACUGAUACACGGCCCACACUCCUACGGGAGGCAGCAGUGGGGAAUAUUGCCAAUGGGCGAAAGCCUGAUGAGCGACGCCCGUGAGGGAUGACGGCCUUCUGGUUGUAAACCUCUUUCUCAGGGAAGAAGAAAAGUGACGGUACCUGCAGAAAAACGCCGGCUAACUACGUGCCGCAGCCGCGGUAAUAAUAGGGCGCAGCGUUGUUCGGAAUUAUUGGGCGUAAGAGCUCGUAGGCGGCUUGUCGCGUCGGUUGUGAAAGCCCGGGGCUUAACCCCGGGUCUGCAGUCGAUACGGGCAGGCUAGAGUUCUGUAGGGGAGAUCGGAAUUCCUGGUGUAGCGGUGAUAUGCUCAGAUAUAAUGAGGAACACCGGUGGCGAAGGCGGAUCUCUGGGGCGAUACUGACGUGAGGAGGAAGCUGG
rnacentral:rRNA from 1 species